GUGAUGAAGAACCCCCAUUGUCAUCGUUGUCGUCAUCAUCAUUGUCAACGUUGGAAGAGCCCCGUCAUCGUCAUCGUCACCGGUGGAAGAGCUCCGUCGUCAUCGUCGUGAUCGUUAAAGUCAACGUGAUGAAGAGCCCGCCAUUAUUGUCACCGCCGGAAGAGCCCCGUCGUCAUCGUCACCGUGAUGAAGAGCCCCCAUUGUCAUCAUUGUCGUCAUCAUCAUCGUCAACGUUGGAAGAGCCUUCGUCAUCGUCAUCGUCAUCGUUAUUGUCACAAUUGGAAGAGCCAUCGCCAUCAUCGUCACCUCGAUGAAGAGCCCCAUCUUCAUCUUCAUCUUCUUCAUCUUCAUCUUCAUCAUCAACAUUACGAAGAGCCCCCGUUGUCAUCGGCACCCUUGGGAGAGCCAUCAUCAUCAUCAUCGUCAUCAUCAUUGUCAUCGUCAUCAUCAUCAUCGUCACAGUUGGAAGAGCCAUCUUCAUCAUCAUCAUCAUCAUGGUUGGAAGAGCCGUCUUCAUCAUCAUCAUCAUCAUCCGUCACCACUGUGAAGAGCCCCCAUGGUCCUCGCGCUCUUCAUCCUCACCGCCACCAUCCUCAUCCUCCUCAUCAUCACCGUUGCCUUCCUCUUCCUCCUCCUCCUCCUCACCUUCCUCCUCCUCCUCCCUUUUGUCACCACCGUUGUCAUCUUCCUCCUCCUCUUCUUCCUCCUCUUCCUCACCGUUUUCCUCAUCUUCCUCUUCGUCGUCACCACCACCACCGUCCUCCUCCUCCUCACCUUCAUCUUCGUCACCAUCAUCACCUUCCUCCCCCUCCUCACCUUCAUCUUCAUCACCAUCAUCACC
rnacentral:lncRNA from 1 species